rnacentral:rRNA from 1 species
UAACCUGCCCAAGAGAUCGGGAUAACACCUGGAAACAGAUGCUAAUACCGGAUAANAACAGAUGAUGCCUAUCAACUGUUUAAAAGAUGGUUCUGCUAUCACUCUUGGAUGGACCUGCGGUGCAUUAGCUAGUUGGUAGGGUAACGGCCUACCAAGGCGAUGAUGCAUAGCCGAGUUGAGAGACUGAUCGGCCACAUUGGGACUGAGACACGGCCCAAACUCCUACGGGAGGCAGCAGAC